GCUCGUGUUUCGUCGUCGAUCCACACGGGGCGGGGAUAAUUACGAGGUUCAUCGUGGCCAUGGGACGUCAGUCAGUGCGCGACGGUCCUCAAGAAUUGUCGUCGAACAGUUUCCGAGCGGACGGGCCGUUUACAUUUGCAUAGCGCGACGUCCGAACGACACAUGCAAAUUCAAGGUGUGGCCGCCGUGGUACGUUCCCGGACUCGUGAGACCAUCGUCUCUCGGAUCGCGAUCGCCGUCGAAUCGAGAAGUCGAUUAGUCGGACUUCUCUCGUCUGGUUUCUGGGGGAUCUGAUUACAUAAACAAACGGAACCUCCUUAAUAUUACGUAAAGGCUUCGGCUUCGCGGUGUGGGAUCGUUGCGAGGGAACCCGUCGGCGUCCGACGGAGAGGAACACGGUGACGCCAACGAACGUCGAAGGCGAAGGCGAAGGCGAAGGCGAACGCGAAGACGAAGAAGACGAAGACGACGAUGAUGUGGCAGCCGAAGGGCUCUAACGCAGCUCCCUCACCCCAACAAGUAAUGCGUGAACAUUCAGAGUACUAUCUUCUUUUUUACUACGUAGGAAUUAUAAUUGAACGGGUACAGUGACCAAGACAUCGCCUGCAAUCCUCAUUUUUUUCCUGUUGGCCAAAGACACACAGCAAUCACUGCGUAUAUCUUAUUAUGUAUUAGUUAAGUAAGUUGUCGUUGUAAAAUGAUUGUAAAAUGACAUAAGAACUGUAAUGUGUGGAAAUAAAAGUACUAUAAAACUCGA